rnacentral:pre_miRNA from 1 species
AGCUUUCUGAAUCUGUGCCGAGAUUUCGUCAGCCAACAGACUAUUAGGACUGACGAAACUCCUAAGAUAAGUAAAGCG